UGACUUUUAGGCACCUAAUAUAAAUACUAGAAGACGAAAAUAGGUAGGAGAGUUCGAAGAGUUCACUUUACAUACAAACCCUAGCUUUCUAAGAAAUUUGGAGAGAAUUUGCAUCAUAGCUCUAGGAGAAGGAAUCUCAACUAAAGUUCUAAAAGUUCAAGGCUACAGAUCUUUAUUCUGAGUUCUUUUGUUUUAUUUUUUCAGAUUGUCUCAUGUUAUUUUAUUUCAAU
rnacentral:misc_RNA from 1 species